GUAGGGAAGGCGCCCCACAGUGAGGCUUGACCUAGCCCUGGGCCCCUUUCAGUUCCUGGACCACCUUCUGACAGGCAUCGAGGACAUCUGUGGCCACUACGGUCACCACCACUGGAAGGACAAGCUCAACCGGUUUAAUAAGAAAUACGUGAAGAAGUGUCUGAUAGCCGGCGAGCGCUCCAAGGAGCCCCAGCUCAUCGCCUUCUACCAUAAGAUGGAGAUGAAGCAGGCCAUCGAGCUGGUGGAGAGCGGGGGCAUGGGCAAGAUCCCCUCUGCCGUCUCCACCGUCUCCAUGCAGAACAUCCACCCCAAGUCCCUGCCUUCCGAGCGCAUCCUGCCGGCACUGUCCAAGGACAAGGAGGAGGAGAUCCGCAAAAUCCUGAGGAACAACUUGCAGAAGACUAGGCAGCGGCUGCGGUCCUACAACAGACACACACUGGUGGCAGACCCCUACGAGGAAGCCUGGAACCAGAUGCUGCUCCGGAGGCAGAAGGCCCGGCAGCUGGAGCAGAAGAUCAACAACUACCUGACGGUGCCAGCCCACAAGCUGGACUCACCCACCAUGUCUCGGGCCCGCAUCGGCUCAGACCCACUGGCCUAUGAGCCGAAGGAGGACCUGCCUGUCAUCACCAUCGACCCGGCUUCCCCGCAGUCACCCGAGUCUGUGGACUUGGUGAACGAGGAGCUGAAGGGCAAAGUCUUGGGGUUGAGCCGGGAUCCUGCAAAGGUGGCCGAGGAGGACGAGGACGACGAUGGGGGCAUCAUGAUGCGGAGCAAGGAGACUUCGUCCCCAGGAACCGACGAUGUCUUCACCCCUGCGCCCAGUGACAGCCCCAGCUCCCAGAGGAUACAGCGCUGCCUCAGUGACCCAGGCCCGCACCCUGAGC
rnacentral:sRNA from 1 species